ensembl:snRNA U4 U4 spliceosomal RNA
AGCUUUGUGUGGUGGCAGUAUCGUAGCCAAUGAGGUUUAUCUGAGGCGUGAUUAUUGCUAAUUGAAAAAGGUUUUCAACUUAAAAACAAUUAGAAUAACCUUGCUUAGAAUGGAUUUUCAAAAGUUGCUAUUUAAGAAUA